UUUCGAUUCACUUUUUAGUAGGUUUAAUAGAUUUUAAUACUUAUGUUUAUGAAACAUCAUGAAAGAACAUGUAAUAAUUAGAAGUACAAAGUUAAUAAUGCCUCAUUAUUGAAGAAGGUUGUUAUUUAAGCCGAAAGUAAAAUUGGUGGGUUUAAACGGGUCGAAUUUUAUGUGCAUGUGUUGCGUAAUGUAAUGAAAUUCGUUAUGGUUAAGACCUUGGGUAAGAAUUUUUAGUCAAUUAUGUAAGGGGAACAUUUUCCGGACCAUUAGGAACAAGUUUUAUAUAUGAUUCGGUUGUUUAUGGGUCAAGAUAUGGUAGUUUUAAUGUUUAAAAUGGAAGUUGAGCUGGGCACUACCGUAGCUUACGGUAGCCACCGUAAGCUACGGUGGGUUCUGAAGUCUUUCGGGCCACCGUAAGGCAGCAGCACUUCACCGUAAGGGUUUUAUGGCCACCGUAAGCUACGGUAGCCACCGUAGCUUACGGUGGAGCUGUCGCGCCCCGCGUAAUAGUAAGCUAUGGCUUACGCGGCCCACGAGGGACCGUGCUUUUGGCUUUUUGCUGAAAUUGUGAUGUUUUGAGUAUGAGACUUGUCUAAAAAUGAUUUUUCUAAGGCCACGUACGUUAUGAUAAGGAUGGUUUCAUAUAUCAAUGAUUUAAAGGUUGUCGGUUAGUGAAUGAACCGAUCGUUUCGUGUUAGUGUAGGAAAAUUUAUAAGUAUAUGUGUAUAGGAAUCCAAAAGGCACGUGGGUUGAAUCAUAGAUUGUCUAUGCUAUGUAAGGUUGGGAAUGUGUCAUUCUGGCAUAAACCUACAUGUAAGAAAUGGUAAAAGAAGCUUGUGUAUAUAUUCAUGAUUAAUUGAUUGUGCGUAUGAAGGAAUCAUUGGCAUGUAUGAAGGUACGCAUGUAUAUAUAAGUAUAUAUAUAUAUAUAUAUAUGUAUGUAUGUACGUAUGUAUGAUAAUAAGUACGUAGGUAUGAAUGUAUGUGUGAAUGAAUGUUCAAUGCUUAAGACAUAUGCAUGAACGUUAUCAAAGUGUUCGAGUAUUUAUGUUACUAAUGAUGUGCGUUGAGUUGGAAUGUAAUGUAAGUAUGGGAUUGUUGGCUUCAUGAAGAAAUGGAGCUGGAUUUGGAUAAGAGUAUUUAAGAAAGCGCUUGGACAAUUCCAUGAUUACUUUAUGGAAUGCUCUACGAAAUUCUAUUAUAUAGGUUAAUGUUGUAUGGUAUGUUAAUGACUAAUGGUUUGGUUGUACGUGGUGUCCACAGGUAUCGCUUGGGUUUUCUCUACAUUUAUUGAAGUCAAGCAGGGCUUAGUUCGAGUUGAGAGCAAGGAUUGUACGGGGUAGAACGAUCACACAAUGAGAUUUAUAUAAGUCUUGAUGUGUAAAUCUGUUUAAAUGAAUAUAUGGUAUUUCGUAUUUGAACCUUCAUAUGAUUGACAUGUCUAAUAAAGAACGAAAUUUUUGGACUCAUGUUUUCCAUUGCGUCGUAUUUAAGUUCUUAUAAGUUGGUCAAACAGGGAAUUGCUCUUAUUACGAACGGGUCAUGCCCGAAUUUUAUUAUAAUAAUAGCAUGAUAAUAUUACUUUCGGAUUUGGAAAUCUGGGUGUUACAAGUUGGUAUCAGAGCCCUGGUUUGAGCGAAAUCAAGUAUGAUGAGGCAAAUACUUGAACUCAAACCUACGCGCUCUUGUGAUCAGGAACCCGUACAAUCCGAGACUCGAUCAAGAUCUAAAGGUGGAAGCGAAUGUAAGUGUGUACUUAAGUAUGUAUUUGAAAACUAACAGUAUGUCAUGUGUAAGGUAAGGAUAAUUGCUUGGAAGAGGAUGAUUCGUGAAUGCGGUCUAGGACCGACACCAAGGUAUGUAAUGAGACCAUUGCCCAGGUACGUAAAUUUUGCAUAAGGGUGCAUGUAAUGCUAAAAGUUAUCGAGUGAAGGAAAAUUUUAAUGAAAUAUAAUAAUAUAAUGGAAACGAAGUUAUGAAAAUGUUACACGUGCCGAAACCUAAUUCUUCGGACAUAAGGUGACGAUUACACGAAGACACGAAACUAGUAUGUGGAUUGUGUACCUGGCCAGUACACAAGAAACAUAUGAUGUUCGUGAGACCGUAAUGAUUGUUACAGGUAUGUCAGUUAGAAUUAGGUAGUGGGUGGACAUGAGGGUGAAAAGAAAUGUAAGACUUUCUGAAAUGAAAGUAUGAAUGAUAUGUUAGAAUCCGCGAGACGGAUUCGAAACAUGAAAGGAAUGAAAGUAUGAAUGAUAUGUUAGAAUCCGCGAGACGGAUUCGAAACAUGAAAGGAAUGAAAGUAUGAAAGAUAUGUUAGAAUCCGCGAGAUGGAUUCGAAACAAAGAAGGAAAGAAAGUAUGAAUGAUAUGUUAGAAACCGCGUGACGGUUAGAAACAUAAUAAACGAUAAGAAUGAAAAGAUUCGAAGUUGUAGGUAAUUACGGACUAAGGAAUUAAAUAUUCUUUAAAAAGCAAAUAUUAUCCAAGUUAUGUCUUAAACUUAUAUAUAUAUACAAAUAUGUUUAUAUGCAAGAAUGGUUAAAGAGACGAAUGAGUCAUGCAGGUCAAAUGGUAAUCGCCAUUUAAACCGAUAUUUAGUGUUUUGAUUUGUUAAGUUUUAUACUUGUAGGUGAGCAUAAUGUUUGGCACGUAAACCUAAAUUUUGACGAAAGAAAGAAGUUUUGAACAUGUUAUGUUUUAGAUGUGUUAGUAAUCGACUCUUAGGAGUCGUAAUAAAUGACGGGCUACGAUCCGGACAAUAAUUUAAGUAUAAUUGGGAAGGGUAAGUUAUGGCAAGAAUACUGAAUUGAUGUAAUGAAUGUCUUGGCAAGUAAGCAUGAAUGAAAAAGGAGUAAGAACGUGUACUUUAAUACAUAUACGAUAAAUAAGACAUGUCAGUUUGACCUCGAAAAGUCAAACUGUAAAGGUUGACGAAAUAAGAAACUGGAAUAAAAGAAUUGCAUGUAAGGGAUGAAAUGUGGGAUGUGUUAUAGCAUGUAUGUAGGAAGAAGUAAAGGGAUAAUAGGUGGGUAUCAUCUAGUAUAAUGAUUGUUUGAAUGAAAGGUGCUAAUCGACAAUUUUGUAGAUGUUAAUGGUGGAAUUCUGAAUAUGAUGAAACCAAUCGAAUUGUUGAAAGAAUGUGCACGAGUGGAAGCCCAUUACAAGAAUGAAUGAAAGCUGGCCUGGUACGGUUAGUACUUGUGAAGAAGCGGAUCAAUAUGGUUUACGGAUCGCUGAAGUAUGAAAUGAAAUCAAGGUAAGUAAAAUGUUUUAACUCAUGCCAGAUAGAUAUGGAUUAGUAAAUUGAAAACGGCUUACGAGAUGAGUGAUGGGAUAGGUAUGGUAUGGUAUGGAAUGUUUGACUUUAAUAGUUGACGUUAGAAGAAAACUAUGCCAUUAAGAACUAAAUCUUGAAGGUUUUGAGCAAAAAAAAAUAUAAAAAAAAAUAAAAAAUUUCGGGUAUUAGUUAAGCUCUCGUCUAAUGAACUUGCAUGACGUGCUUGCUUAUGCGACUUAAGUAAUGCAUGAAAUGAAAGGAAUAGUAAUGUAGAAUGAAUGAGGUGAGUUGAAGGUAACGUAAGGGUAUGCAUGGUACAAACCACUAUAGGAAAUGUAGAAUGAUGUUGACCUUGGUGUUAAGCACGUACGCGUGACCAUGAAAUAGAAACUUCGUUGUGAUAACAAAAUAAUAAUUAAAUGUUAUGUAAUAAAUGUAAAGAAUGAAAUCUUAAAGGAUGAGGUGAAGGUAUUAGAUCUGUUAUGAACGGAUUGUAUGAAUGUAAGUAUUAUUACAAGUUUGAAUAAGUAUGUAUAUUAACCUAUUACUAACGGGUCAAGGAAAUGAGGAUGUUAGGUGGAAGUAUGGUAUAGAAAGUAUAGACUUGUUAGAAAAAAAAAAGUCAAUUGAAUGAAUAAUAUAUGAACUGAGAUCGGAUGGUUACUUAUAAUUAUGAUGCAAUUGUUAAAGUUAAACAUAAAGGGGGUAUGUAUAAAUUACGAAGGGGAGAUAUUAGUAUCAAAUGGAAACGAGAAAGAGGUUUCGGGGACGAAACCUCCUUUAAGGGGGGUAGAUUUGUAACAUCCCAAAACGCGAAUUUUAAAAUUCGUUAGAAGGGUACCAUGUUUAAUUAAAUAAAUAUAAUAACUAAGUUAUUAAACUUGGUUAAAUGUUUAAGAAAACAAUCAAGGGAAGGAAAUUACUACAUUUGUGAUCAAGUAACAACUAGAGGGGCCAAGGUUGUCAAUAAAGAGGAAAGUUUAUGUUUAAUUAAAAUAAAAAAUUAAAACCCCAAAAAAAAAUACACACUCAGUGUGUGUGUGUGGGUCGAUGUUCGACCAGGAGAGAAGGGAAAAGGGGUAAAACCCUAGAUCACCAAAAUCCAUCAAAUUGAAGGAGGAUUGAAGGGCUAAUCGAAUGCAUGAACCAGGAAUGUCGAUCAUUUAAGUGUUUCUACCAUCAUGAACGUGUCAAGGAGAGGUCAAGCAUAGGAGGAUAACGGGUCAAGAUAAGGCAAGGUGACAAAUACACUUAUUGGAGUACUCAAGGUAAGUGAAUUUCGAUUCACUUUUUAGUAGGUUUAAUAGAUUUUAAUACUUAUGUUUAUGAAACAUCAUGAAAGAACAUGUAAUAAUUAGAAGUACAAAGUUAAUAAUGCCUCAUUAUUGAAGAAGGUUGUUAUUUAAGCCGAAAGUAAAAUUGGUGGGUUUAAACGGGUCGAAUUUUAUGUGCAUGUGUUGCGUAAUGUAAUGAAAUUCGUUAUGGUUAAGACCUUGGGUAAGAAUUUUUAGUCAAUUAUGUAAGGGGAACAUUUUCCGGACCAUUAGGAACAAGUUUUAUAUAUGAUUCUGUUGUGUAUGGGUCAAGAUAUGAUAGUUUUAAUGUUUAAAAUGGAAGUUGAGCUGGGCACUACCGUAGCUUACGGUAGCCACCGUAAGCUACGGUGGGUUCUGAAGUCUUUCGGGCCACCGUAAGGCAGCAGCACUUCACCGUAAGGGUUUUAUGGCCACCGUAAGCUACGGUAGCCACCGUAGCUUACGGUGGAGCUGUCGCGCCCCGCGUAAUAGUAAGCUAUGGCUUACGCGGCCCGCGAGGGACCGUGCUGUCGGCUUUUUGCUGAAAUUGUGAUGUUUUGAGUAUGAGACUUGUCUAAAAAUGAUUUUUCUAAGGCCACGUACGUUAUGAUAAGGAUGGUUUCAUAUAUCAAUGAUGUAAAGGUUGUCGGUUAGUGAAUGAACCGAUCGUUUCGUGUUAGUGUAGGAAAAUUUAUAAGUAUAUGUGUAUAGGAAUCCAAAAGGCACGUGGGUUGAAUCAUAGAUUGUCUAUGCUAUGUAAGGUUGGGAAUGUGUCAUUCUGGCAUAAACCUACAUGUAAGAAAUGGUAAAAGAAGCUUGUGUAUAUAUUCGUGAUUAAUUGAUUGUGCGUAGGAAGUAAUCAUUGGCAUGUAUGAAGGUACGCAUGUAUAUAUAAGUAUAUAUAUAUAUAUAUAUAUAUAUAUGUACGUAUGUAUGAUAAUAAGUACGUAGGUAUGAAUGUAUGUGUGAAUGAAUGUUCAAUGCUUAAGACAUAUGCAUGAACGUUAUCAAAGUGUUCGAGUAUUUAUGGUUACUAAUGAUGUGCGUUGAGUUGGAAUGUAAUGUAGGUAUGGGAUUGUUGGCUUCAUGAAGAAAUGGAGCUGGAUUUGGAUAAGAGUAUUUAAGAAAGCGCUUGGACAAUUCCAUGAUUACUUUAUGGAAUGCUCUACGAAAUUCUAUUAUGUAGGUUAAUGUUGUAUGGUAUGUUAAUGACUAAUGGUUUGGUUGUACGUGGUGUCCACAGGUAUCGCUUGGGUUUUCUCUACAUUUAUUGAAGUCAAGCAGGGCUUAGUUCGAGUUGAGAGCAAGGAUUGUACGGGGUAGAACGAUCACACAAUGAGAUUUAUAUAAGUCUUGAUGUGUAAAUCUGUUUAAAUGAAUAUAUGGUAUUUCGUAUUUGAACCUUCAUGUGAUUGACAUGUCUAAUAAAGAACGAAAUUUUUGGACUCA